AUGGCGUCUACAUCGUCUACGUCCGAGCUGCCGGACGGGGUAGUCCUAGUCCCCGCUCCGGAUCCGCUCGUCCACGUCGCCUUCAACCAGCACGGCACGCACUUCGUCGCGGCCAUGGCCACCGGCUUCCACGUAUUCUCCUGCCACCCUCUCGAGAGCGGCAUGCACCGGCGCAGCAGCGAGCUCAAGGUGACCUCCGCCCAGCUGCUCACGCGCUCUCAGCUGGCGGGCACGCUCGUGCGCAUAUUCAGCACCGCCGACGGCACCAAGCUCCAAGAGCUGAGAAGAGGCACCGAAGGGGCAGACAUCCACUGCAUCGCCUUUUCCCACGACUCCAAAUGGUUAGCGGUGUCCAGCGACAAGGCAACGGUGCACGUUUUUAGCAUCAAUGACUUCAACCUCACAAGCUCCACUCUCGAGGAAGACCAUGCCAGUAAUGACAUUCUGGCGGCACCACUAGUACUACCAUCUUCUCCCGCACCCGCAACAACCAACCAGAGCUCAUCACGCAUGUCGUUCUUGAAAGGCUACCUGCCGACGUAUUUCAGCUCGAAGUGGUCGUUUGCCCAGUUCCGGAUCCCUAACGCCUGGACCAAGUGCUCCGUGGCAUUCGACCGGAGACACCCCAACACCAUUACCAUUGUCUGCAUGGACAAAAGGUUCUACCGCUGCGAGUUCGACCCGGUGAAAGGAGGCGACAUGGUGCCGGGGGUGUACCAUGAGAACUUCAUGGACCUCUGA
rnacentral:rRNA from 1 species